rnacentral:rRNA from 1 species
UACGUAGGGUGCGAGCGUUGUCCGGAAUUAUUGGGCGUAAAGAGCUCGUAGGCGGCUUGUCGCGUCGGUUGUGAAAGCCCGGGGCUUAACUCCGGGUCUGCAGUCGAUACGGGCAGGCUAGAGUGUGGUAGGGGAGAUCGGAGUUCCUGGUGUAGCGGUGAAAUGCGCAGAUAUCAGGAGGAACACCGGUGGCGAAGGCGGAUCUCUGGGCCAUUACUGACGCUGAGGAGCGAAAGCGUGGGGAGCGAACAGG